rnacentral:rRNA from 1 species
UUUGACAAUAUACCAAAACUUUCUUGAAAUUCAAUCACAACCCACAACAAUGGAUCUCUUGGCUCUGGCAUCGAUGAAGAACGCAGCGAAAUGCGAUACCUAAUAUGAAUUGCAGAAUUCAGUGAAUCAUCGAGUUUUUGAACGCACAUUGCGCCCUUUGGCAUUCCAAAGGGCAUGUCCGACCGAGCGUC